UACGUAGGGGGCUAGCGUUGUCCGGAAUCAUUGGGCGUAAAGCGCGCGUAGGCGGCCCGGUAAGUCCGCUGUGAAAGUCAAAGGCUCAACCUUUGAAUGUCAGCGGAUACUGCCGGGCUAGAGUCCGGAAGAGGCGAGUGGAAUUCCUGGUGUAGCGGUGGAAUGCGCAGAUAUCAGGAGGAACACCGGUGGCGAAGGCGGCAUCCUGGACCGGUAUUGACGCUGAGGCGCGAAAGCGUGGGGAGCAAACAGG
rnacentral:rRNA from 1 species